UUCAGAUGAAGAGUCCAGAACAGGACGAAAUCCUGGAA
rnacentral:hammerhead_ribozyme from 1 species